UGAGGAAUAUUGGUCAAUGGACGAGAGUCUGAACCAGCCAAGUAGCGUGAAGGAUGAAGGUCCUACGGAUUGUAAACUUCUUUUAUAAGGGAAUAAACCCUCCCACGUGUGGGAGCUUGUAUGUACCUUAUGAAUAAGCAUCGGCUAACUCCGUGCCAGCAGCCGCGGUAAUACGGAGGAUGCGAGCGUUAUCCGGAUUUAUUGGGUUUAAAGGGAGCGCAGACGGGUCGUUAAGUCAGCUGUGAAAGUUUGGGGCUCAACCUUAAAAUUGCAGUUGAUACUGGCGUCCUUGAGUGCGGUUGAGGUGUGCGGAAUUCGUGGUGUAGCGGUGAAAUGCUUAAAUAUCACGAAGAACUCCGAUUGCGAAGGCAGCACACUAGUCCGUAACUGACGUUCAUGCUCGAAGGUGUGGGUAUCAAACAGG
rnacentral:rRNA from 1 species